rnacentral:SRP_RNA from 1 species
GCUGGGGGUGGUGGCACAUGCCUUUAGUCCUAGCUACUUGGGAGGCUGAGGCAGGGGGAUUGCUUGAGCCCAGGAGUUUGAGGCUGCAGUGAGUGAUGAUGGCACCACUGUACUCCUGCCUGGGUGACAGAGCAAUACCCUGUCUCUA